rnacentral:rRNA from 1 species
CGUUCCCGGGUCUUGUACGCACCGCCCGUCACACCACGAAAGUCGGCAACACCCGAAGCCGGUGGCCUAACCCGCAAGGGAGGGAGCCGUCGAAGGUGGGGCUGGCGAUUGGGGUG